AAGCCAGGAGGGUGGGAAGGAGGGAGGAAGUGAGAAGUAAGGACCUCCUUCUCCCCACUCAGUCCCUUUAGAUUCCUCUUCUAGCUCAGGAUCUCCCAACAUAAUUAAAAAUAUAUCCUUUUUCUUCCCCUCACUAUCCCCACAUAGGGUUUUCAGAUGCUGUGGAAAAGAAUUAAUUUACCACUGGAUGUUGUAGCAUGCCUGAUGUCUUUGGCUCUCACUAACAUCAGUGGAUUAACAUCAGCUUGCAGGAUUAGACCCAUUACGUGCACUCCACGUGUGGUGCAGUCACCAAUUCAUCUGUCAUAUUGUGGUUUUCAAAGCUGAACUGAGAAUGCUCUGAAAGGAAUUCGAAGUUGAAGAGCUGCAGGAAGACCUAGGUAGGGAAUUACAUUUUCAUUGUGGCUAACUUUCAAUGACACUGAAGAUGUCUCACUCGGAAGAUCAUCAGACCCACACCUCCUCUUCUACUUCAACAGACAACGCUUCAUUCAUUUGAUGUAGAAACUCUGAAGAAAGUAAUUUUCAUUUUGAAAUAAGUGUGAAUUCUUUUUAUCUUGAGAUUUAACAACUGUUGACAAUGCUUACAUUUUGCUUCACAAAAAUGAGCUGUUUUCAUAACUUCAGUCUUUCCAAUCACUUUUUCCCACCAAGUCUUUCCCUUUCUCAACCCAGAUUAAAAUAAAUGUAAUUUUAGUUAUGACUACUUCUAAGUUACCUAUUUGUUGUAUUCAUAAAAAAACCUAUCCUCUUUACUAAAAAGAAAAUUAAAAUAACCACUUCUUGAAGUUAACACUCUAAAAAAUGGAAAAAAUAUUUAUUAAUCAUGAUCUUCAAUGAUUUAUCUUCCAUUAAUUUCUAGCAGAUCAAAUCCAUCCUUGAUAACAUGAUACUCUUGCCAAUUUUCUCCUUCACUAUAUCUAACAUUUAGCUCCAUCUCUGUUCUCCUGUGGCUAGGAAUAUAAUAAAUUCCACCCAUAAGGCUUCCAGUUCUGUAGCUAUGUUUAGUACAAAGAAUUUGGUUUUUUGUUUAUAAUAUUUAUUUCACAUUGAUUUAAUGUGCACAUGAAGACAAAAAUGGAAACAAGAAUAAAAGCGAAACAAGGCCUAACUUC